rnacentral:rRNA from 1 species
GCCCCCAGCAAACACAAGUAUUGGGGGUAAUGCCUGCCCAGUGACACUGUUAAACGGCCGCGGUAUCCUAACCGUGCAAAGGUAGCGUAAUCACUUGUCUUUUAAAUAAAGACUAGAAUGAAUGGCUAAACGAGGCUCUACCUGUCUCUUACAAAUAAUCAGUGAAAUUGAUCUUCCCGUGCAAAAGCAGGAAUAAUAUUAUAAGACGAGAAGACCCUGUGGAACUUCAAAUAUAAAAUCAACUAUCACCAACAACACCAGUCCAAUAGGUCUUAUAUAAAAUAGUAUUUGAUUUUUACUUUCGGUUGGGGCGACCUCGGAACAAAAUAAAACCUCCGAAAAACAAAGAAACUCCUUUAACUUAGAACAACAGUUCAAAGUGCUUCCAGCAAAACGAUCCAAUAUAUUUGAUCAACGAACCAAGCUACCCCAGGGAUAACAGCGCAAUCCCAUUCUAGAGUCCCUAUCGACAAUGGGGUUUACGACCUCGAUGUUGGAUCAGGACAUCCUAAUGGUGCAGCCGCUAUUAAGGGUUCGUUUGUUCAACGAUUAAUAGUCCUACGUGA